rnacentral:rRNA from 1 species
UACAGAGGUCCCAAGCGUUGUUCGGAUUCACUGGGCGUAAAGCGUGCGCAGGCGGUGAUGUAAGACAGAUGUGAAAUCCCCGGGCUCAACCUGGGAACUGCAUUUGUGACUGCAUCGCUGGAGUGCGGCAGAGGGGGAUGGAAUUCCGCGUGUAGCAGUGAAAUGCGUAGAUAUGCGGAGAACACCGAUGGCGAAGGCAAUCCCUGGGCCUGCACUGACGCUCAUGCACGAAAGCGUGGGGAGCAAACAGGA